UCCUUAAAACUUUAUUAAUAAAAUAGCAUGUAUAUCUAAUUUUUGGAUUAGAACAAGAAAAAGCUUAUGGGAGAAGUCAUUACUUUCUUUAUCCUUAUCUUCCCUACGACUUUCCCUUUCAUGCGUAUAAUCUCCAUUCUUCUUUUACUUCAAGAAAACAUGAAAACCUACUUUUCAUUUUAGUUCCUUGCUCAGACGCUAUUUUCUCCCACUUGUUCUUUCAUUUCUUUUGUUGUUUCCUCACCAAGCUUUCGGAACAAUUGAAUCCUCUUAUAAUCAUCCAAGAGUACAGUGAAGGUUCGAGUGGCAGUGUAGAAUGAACAAGCAAAGACUUCUACUUCAUUAAGUAUAUCAGGUUAAGCUGUGAUGCAUAUGGUAGCAAGCAGAGCAAAGUCUUUGAUGUAUAUGUCUUAAACCAGGCUUAGGAUUCCAUGUCUUCAUACAUGUAAUCCACAUGAAUUAUUCCGCUGCAACACUUAGUCUAUUCUACUUUAUUGAGGUGUUGUACAUAUUUUAAAACAAUAGCUUUGAGAAUUAUGUCACUUGAAAGUUAGACAACUUGUCGUUGUGUAUUGUAAGUUGUCUACUCAUGAGUUUUAAAAGUGAUUGCUUAUGAUUAUCCAAUAUUAAGUAAUUCAUCGUUAAA